rnacentral:rRNA from 1 species
GGGAAGCAAGGGGAGAGAUGAAGAGCUAAAGCAGGCGGGGCUUCGAGUACGAGUGGCAACGGCGCAGCUAGUGCGCCGGUAGCUGGAGGGGAGCAGUGCGGUUCUACAGGUUUUCGAGGCGGUAGCAGCAGAGGAAGAGGGAGCGGAUACACGAGCUCGAUCCUCCGGGGCAUGCGUGCGGUAGCGGCAGCAGGAGUUGGAGGCCGGUUGCGCCGCGGUACCUGUUUAGGCAGCGGAAGUGACGUAGGGGCCGGAGGAGCUCGAGGAGAAGGCUGAGCGCUACGGCCUCGGGUCCUAGAUCUGCGGUGGCAACUGCUGCUGAGGAUGAUGUGGCCUCCACGGAUGAUGAUACACGUCGGGCGACUGCUGCUGGUCCUCAUCAAUCCUCCUAGGGUCCGUCCUCCGGACGCGGAGAAAGCUAGACAUAGGGUCAAACACGAUCGGUAGAAUACCGUUGAACAAAUUGAAUACAGACGUGAGUCUAUAACAACGAAGGCG